CUGCUGUUAUACAGAAAGAAAAGAUAUAGGAGUGGAAAGCCUAUAUUAUGACGGUACUGUAUCAGAAAGUGACGGCAAACUAUGUGCCAGCAGCCGCGGUAAUACAUAGGUCACAAGCGUUAUCCGAAAUUAUUGGGCGUAAAGCGUCCGUAGGUUGUUUGUUAAGUCUGGAGUUAAAGACCGGUGCUCAACGCCGGCACGCUUUAGAUACUGGCAAACUAGAGUUAUAAAGAGGUAAGUGGAAUUUCAUGUGAAGCGGUGGAAUGCGUAGAUAUAUGAAAGAACACCAAUGGCGAAGGCAGCUUACUGGUUAUAUACUGACACUGAGGGACGAAAGCGUGGGGAGCAAACAGGAUUAGAUACCCUGGUAGUCCACGCCGUAAACGAUGAUCAUUAGUUGGUGGGGGAACCCUCGCUAACGCAGCUAACGCAUUAAAUGAUCCGCCUGAGUAGUAUGCUCGCAAGAGUGAAACUUAAAGGAAUUGACGGGGACCCGCACAAGCGGUGGAGCAUGUGGUUUAAUUUGACGAUACGCGUAGAACCUUACCCACUCUUGACAUCCCUUGCAAAGCUAUAGAGAUAUAGUGGAGGUUAACAAGGUGACAGAUGGUGCAUGGUUGUCGUCAGCUCGUGUCGUGAGAUGUUCGGUUAAGUCCUGCAACGAGCGCAACCCCUAUCCUUAUUUACUAACAUUAAGUUGAGAACUAUACGGAUACUGCUCAGGUAACUGGGAGGAAGGUGGGGAUGACGUCAAAUCAUCAUGCCUCUUACGAGUGGGGCAACACACGUGCUACAAUGGCCGGUACAAAGAGACGCAAUAUGGUGACAUGGAGCAAAUCUGAAAAACCGGUCUCAGUUCGGAUUGAAGGCUGCAAUUCGCCUUCAUGAAGUCGGAAUCGCUAGUAAUCGUAGAUCAGCUACGCUACGGUGAAUACGUUCUCGGGUCUUGUACACACCGCCCGUCACACCAUGGGAGCCGGUAAUGCCCAAAGUC
rnacentral:rRNA from 1 species